rnacentral:rRNA from 1 species
GACGAGUGGCGGACGGGUGAGUAAUGCUUGGGAACUUGCCUUUGCGAGGGGGAUAACAGUUGGAAACGACUGCUAAUACCGCAUAAUGUCUUCGGACCAAACGGGGCUUAGGCUCCGGCGCAAAGAGAGGCCCAAGUGAGAUUAGCUAGUUGGUAAGGUAACGGCUUACCAAGGCGACGAUCUCUAGCUGUUCUGAGAGGAAGAUCAGCCACACUGGGACUGAGACACGGCCCAGACUCCUACGGGAGGCAGCAGUGGGGAAUAUUGCACAAUGGGGGAAACCCUGAUGCAGCCAUGCCGCGUGUGUGAA